AUGCUGGUCUGCCUCCGGCGAGGCCUCUCCCUCCUCCGGCAGCGCCAGCCCCGGCUCCCGCCCCGCCUCCUCCUCCACCUCUCCGCCGAGCCGAUGGGGGACCCGGCCGUCGCGCCGGACGCGCCCUACCUGGAGGCGGUGACGCAGAAGCGGAUCCGCAUCUUCGAGGAGAUCCAGGCCCGGCAGGCCCUCGAGCGCCUCAACAUCGGCGGCGACCCCAUCAGAGUAACUUUGCCUGAUGGCGCGAUAAAGGAAGGCAAGAAGUGGAUAUCGACCCCGAUGGACAUCGCCACGGGGAUAUCAACUGGGUUGGCGGCCAGCUGCCUGAUAGCUCAGGUGAACGGCGUGCUCUGGGACAUGACGAGGCCGUUGGAAGGCGACUGUGACUUGAAGCUGUUCAAGUUCGACAGCAACGAAGGGCGUGACACGUUCUGGCACUCGAGUGCUCAUAUUCUUGGAGAAUCUAUCGAGAGGGUGUAUGGCUGCAAGUUGUGCAUUGGACCUUGUACUACAAGAGGAGAGGGUUUUUACUACGACGCCCACUACAAGGACUUGACACUGAAUGAUACACACUUUGGUCUCAUUGACAAGCAAGCUAAAAAGGCUGUUGCGGAGAAGCAACCAUUUGAACGCAUUGAAGUCUCCAGAGCAGAAGCUCUUGAAGUUUUUGCGGAAAAUGAAUUUAAGGUUGAAAUAAUUAAUGAAUUGCCUGAGGACAAGACCAUUACAGUAUACAGAUGUGGUCCUUUGGUCGACCUUUGCCGUGGCCCGCACAUCCCAAAUACUUCCUUUGUUAAAGCUUUUGCUUGCCUCAAGGCUUCAGCAUCAUACUGGAGAGGAAAAGCAGACCGUGAGAGCCUGCAGAGAGUAUAUGGAAUCUCUUUCCCUGAUUCUAAACGUCUCAAGGAAUAUCAACAUAUGAUAGAGGAAGCUAAGAAACGUGAUCAUAGGUUAUUAGGGCAGUCCCAGAAACUCUUCUUUUUCCAUCCACUUAGCCCAGGUAGCUGCUUCUUCCUUCCAAAUGGCGCUAUAAUAUAUAACAAAUUGAUGGAUUUUUUGCGCAAGGAGUAUAGAGAGAGAGGCUACCAAGAGGUUCUGAGUCCAAAUAUUUACAACAUGCAACUUUGGGAAACCUCUGGACAUGCUGCAAACUACAAGGACAACAUGUUUGUUUUUGAGAUCGAGAAACAAGAAUUUGGCCUUAAGCCAAUGAAUUGUCCUGGCCAUUGCCUAAUGUUUGGACACGAGGUUCGAUCGUAUAGAGAGUUGCCUCUCCGCAUGGCUGAUUUUGGAGUUCUGCACAGAAAUGAACUUAGUGGUGCACUUACAGGUUUGACACGUGUCAGAAGAUUCCAACAGGACGAUGCCCAUAUUUUUUGCACGGAGAGCCAAAUCAAGGAUGAAGUUCGGGCUUGCUUGGAGUUCAUUGAUUAUGUUUAUAAAAUAUUUGGGUUUGAAUAUGAGCUGGAGUUAUCAACGAGACCAGAGAAGUAUUUAGGUGACAUUGAGACCUGGAACAAAGCAGAGCAACAACUGACAGAAGCAUUGAAUGAGUUUGGGAAGCCAUGGAAGAUAAAUGAAGCAGAUGGUGCUUUCUAUGGCCCGAAAAUAGAUAUUGGUGUGUUUGAUGCCCUCAAGAGGAAAUUUCAGUGUGCAACUCUACAGCUCGAUUUUCAGCUGCCACUUCGCUUCAAGUUGACUUAUUCUGCAGAGGAUGAAGCCAAGCUUGAGAGGCCUGUAAUGAUACACAGGGCAAUACUAGGAUCAGUUGAAAGGAUGUUUGCCAUUCUUUUGGAGCACUAUAAUGGUAAAUGGCCGUUGUGGUUAAGCCCCCGACAAGCCAUUGUUUGCUGUGUAUCUGCCAAUUCACUAACAUAUGCAAAAGAGGUUCAUGCUCAGAUACGUGCUGCUGGUUUUCAUGUUGACAUUGACAUGACUGAUAGAACAAUUCAAAAGAAGGUGCGGGAGGCUCAGUUAGCCCAAUUCAACUAUAUUCUAGUCGUCGGCGCAAAAGAGGCAGAGUCUGGAAAGGUCUCUCUGAGGGUAAGAGACAGGGCAGACCUAUCCACAGAGAGCAUUGCUGACGUCAUCGCACGUUUUAACGAUGAAGUUGCGGCUUUCCAGUGA
rnacentral:rRNA from 1 species